UACGUAGGGGGCAAGCGUUGUCCGGAUUUAUUGGGCGUAAAGCGCUCGCAGGUGGUUCGAUGCGUCGUGCGUGAAAGACCCCGGCUCAACUGGGGAGGGUCGUGCGAUACGGUCGAACUGGAGGCCAGGUAGGGGAUGCGGAAUUCCGGGUGGUAGUGGUGGAAUGCGUAGAGGAUCCGGAGGAACACCAGCGGCGAAGGCGGACAUCCUG
rnacentral:rRNA from 1 species